GAUGAACGCUGGCGGCGUGCCUAAUACAUGCAAGUCGAGCGAACAGACGAGGAGCUUGCUCCUCUGACGUUAGCGGCGGACGGGUGAGUAACACGUGGAUAACCUACCUAUAAGACUGGGAUAACUUCGGGAAACGGGAGCAAAUACCGGAUAAUAUAUUGAACCGCAUGGUUGAAUAGUGAAAGACGGUGUUGCUGUCACUAAUAGAGGGAUCCGCGCCGCAUUAGCUAGUUGGUAAGGUAACGGCUUACCAAGGCAACGAUGCGUAGCCGACCUGAGAGGGUGAUCGGCCACACUGGAACUGAGACACGGUCCAGACUCCUACGGGAGGCAGCAGUAGGGAAUCUUCCGCAAUGGGCGAAAGCCUGACGGAGCAACGCCGCGUGAGUGAUGAAGGUCUUCGGAUCGUAAAACUCUGUUAUUAGGGAAGAACAAAUGUGUAAGUAACUAUGCACGUCUUGACGGUACCUAAUCAGAAAGCCACGGCUAACUACGUG
rnacentral:rRNA from 1 species